AGAAGAAGCAAAAUGAAUCAGAAGGUGAAACUCAACUCUAUGUUUUUCCAUCAAACCUUUCUUUCCAACUUUCAUGUGGUCCUGUUUUGCUUUUGGGUCAUCAACGAAAAAACCUUAACUUGUUUCUUUACCUUUGCUCCUGUGUUCUUGGCUUCAUUGAAACUUUUCAUCAUUUGAUUGUCCUGGCGACAUCUGGAGAUUAUAUUCUGGUGAAUAUUGAAUAUUUAAAGCCAUGAGGAUCAAUUUUAUCCUGUUUCCACUCUCAACUUUGGUAUUAACAAUGUAAAUGGUCUCAAUAUCAACCGUAAUUGUUGCAAUAGUUACGGAUUACAAAAGAAACAUCAACAAUCAUUCAUAUCAUGGUUA